rnacentral:rRNA from 1 species
CAAGACCUUGCGCUUUUGGAGCGGCCGAUGUCUGAUUAGCUAGUUGGUGAGGUAAAGGCUUACCAAGGCGUCGAUCAGUAGCUGGUCUGAGAGGACGACCAGCCACACUGGGACUGAGACACGGCCCAGACUCCUACGGGAGGCAGCAGUGGGGAAUUUUGGACAAUGGGGGAAACCCUGAUCCAGCCAUGCCGCGUGAGUGAAGAAGGCCUUCGGGUUGUAAAGCUCUUUCAGCCGGAACGAAACGGUCACGGCUAAUAUCCGUGACAACUGACGGUACCGGAAGAAGAAGCACCGGCUAACUACGUGCCAGCAGCCGCGGUAAUACGUAGGGUGCAAGCGUUAAUCGGAAUUACUGGGCGUAAAGCGUGCGCAGGCGGUUUUGUAAGUCAGAUGUGAAAUCCCCGGGCUUAACCUGGGAACU